AUACUUACCUGGAAGGGGAUCACCAUGAUCACGAAGGUGGUUUUCCCAGGGGGAGGCUUAUCCGUUGCACGCAUGCCGGGUGUGCUGACCCCUGCGAUUUCCCCAAAGGUGAAAACUCGGCUGCAUCAUUUGUGGUAGUGGUGGACCACGU
rnacentral:snRNA from 1 species